rnacentral:rRNA from 1 species
UGCUCCCUGAUGUUAGCGGCGGACGGGUGAGUAACACGUGGGUAACCUGCCUGUAAGACUGGGAUAACUCCGGGAAACCGGGGCUAAUACCGGAUGGUUGUUUGAACCGCAUGGUUCAAACAUAAAAGGUGGCUUCGGCUACCACUUACAGAUGGACCCGCGGCGCAUUAGCUAGUUGGUGAGGUAACGGCUCACCAAGGCAACGAUGCGUAGCCGACCUGAGAGGGUGAUCGGCCACACUGGGACUGAGACACGGCCCAAACUCCUACGGGAGGCAGCAGUAGGGAAUCUUCCGCAAUGGACGAAAGUCUGACGGAGCAACGCCGCGUGAGUGAUGAAGGUUUUCGGAUCGUAAAGCUCUGUUGUUAGGGAAGAACAAGUACCGUUCGAAUAGGGCGGUACCUUGACGGUACCUAACCAGAAAGCCACGGCUAACUACGUGCCAGCAGCCGCGGUAAUACGUAGGUGGCAAGCGUUGUCCGGAAUUAUUGGGCGUAAAGGGCUCGCAGGCGGUUUCUUAAGUCUGAUGUGAAAGCCCCCGGCUCAACCGGGGAGGGUCAUUGGAAACUGGGGAACUUUGAGUGCAGAAUAGGAGAGUGGAAUUCCACGUGUAGCGGUGAAAUGCGUAGAGAUGUGGAGGAACACCAGUGGCGAAGGCGACUCUCUGGUCUGUAACUGACGCUGAGGAGCGAAAAGCGUGGGGAGCGAACAGGAU